rnacentral:rRNA from 1 species
CCAAGCAAAAAAGAGCGCAGGGUGGAUGCCUUGGCACUAAGAGCCGAUGAAAGACGUGAUAAGCUGCGAAAAGCUUCGGGGAGGAGCACAUAUCCAAUGAUCCGGAGAUAUCUGAAUGGGGAAACCCGGCAGAGGAAACCUCUGUCAGCGUGCAGUGAAUACAUAGCUGUACGUGGGGAACCCGGGGAACUGAAACAUCUAAGUACCCGGAGGAAGAGAAAGAAAAUUUAUCGAUUUCCAAAGUAGCGGCGAGCGAAAUGGAAAGAGCCCAAACCGUGAUGCGUGCAUCGCGGGGUUCGGACUGCGUUGUGGCAGACGUAAGAUAGGAGAACGGACUGGGAAGUCCGGCCGGAGAGAGUGAAAGCCUCGUAUCCGAAAUCCCAAGUCGCCUAGCAGGAUCCAGAGUAGGACGAGACACGAGAAACCUUGUCUGAACGAGCGGGGACCACCCCGUAAGGCUAAAUACUUCUUAGUGACCGAUAGCGCAUAGUACUGUGAAGGAAAGGUGAAAAGUACCCCGGGAGGGGAGUGAAAGAGAACCUGAAACCCUGUGUCUACAAGCUGUGGGACCUCUUUAUAUGAGGGACUGCGUACUUUUUGUAGAACGGUCCGGCGAGUUGUGCGUACUGGCGAGGUUAAGGACUUAAGGUCUGGAGCCGAAGUGAAAGCAAGCGUUAAUAGCGCGUCAAGUCAGUGAGUGCAGACCCGAAACCGGGUGACCUAUCCAUGUCCAGGUUGAAGCUUCCGUAAGAGGAAGUGGAGGACCGAACCCACAUCCGUUGAAAAGGGUGGGGAUGAGGUGUGGAUAGCGGAGAAAUUCCAAUCGAACCCGGAGAUAGCUGGUUCUCCUCGAAAUAGCUUUAGGGCUAGCCUCAUGGAUCAUUGGUGGGGGUAGAGCACUGAAUGUGCGCGGGGGCCACAAAGCCUACCAAACGCUAUCAAACUUCGAAUACCAUACAAUGCAGACCAUGGGAGUCAGUCCGCGAGAGAUAAGUUCCGCGGGCAAAAGGGGAACACCCCAGAUCAACCGCUAAGGUCCCCAAGUUCACGUUAAGUGGAGAAGGAUGUGGAAUUGCACAGACAACCAGGAUGUUGGCUCAGAAGCAGCCACACAUUUAAAGAGUGCGUAAUAGCUCACUGGUCGAGUGAUUGUGCGCCGAAGAUGUCCGGGGCUAAACGUGACACCGAAGCGAUGGGUGCAUCUGAAAGGAUGCGCGGUAGAGGAGCAAUGUGCAGAGGCAGAAGCCGUAUCGAGAGGCACGGUGGACACUGCACAAGAGAGAAUGCCGGUAUGAGUAGCGAGAGGCAUGCGAGAAACAUGCCCGUCGAAAGCCCAAGGUUUCCUGGGGAAGGUUCAUCCGCCCAGGGUAAGUCGGGGCCUAAGCCGAGGACGGAAGUCGUAGGCGAUGGACAGCAGGUGUAGAUUCCUGCACUACCGAUGGAAUGAAGCAGUGACACAGAAGGAUAACUCGAGCAGGGUGAUGGUCAACCCUGUGCAAGCAUUGAGGUUGGGUUGUAGUGAAGUACGCAAUCCUAUAAGCUGAGGUGUGAUGCGGACCGAAAUUUCAGUAGGGAAGCGAGUGAGUUCACGCUGGCGAGAAAAGCUGCUAGUACAUCCAAAGGUACCCGUACCGGAAACCGACGCAGGUGGGCGAGGAGAGAAUCCUGAGACGAACGGGAGAACCCUUGUUAAGGAACUCGGCAAAAUGACCCCGUAACUUCGGGAUAAGGGGUGCCUGCGAGAGCAGGCCGCAGAGAAUAGUCACAAGCGACUGUUUAGCAAAAACACAGGUAUCUGCGAAAGCGAGAGCUGACGUAUAGGUGCUGACACCUGCCCGGUGCUGGAAGGUUAAGGGAACAUGUUAGAGCAAUCGAAGCAUCGAACCGAAGCCCCAGUAAACGGCGGCCGUAACUAUAACGGUCCUAAGGUAGCGAAAUUCCUUGUCGGGUAAGUUCCGACCCGCACGAAUGGUGUAACGACUUGUGAGCUGUCUCAACAGGGGGCCCGGUGAAAUUGAAGUAUGGGUGAAGAUGCCCAUUACCCGCGACUGGACGGAAAGACCCCGUAGAGCUUUACUGCAGCCUGAUAUUGAGUUUCGGUAACUGAUGCACAGGAUAGGUGGGAGUCUGAGAGACAUGGGUUUCGGCUCAUGUGGAGACGGUGUUGGGAUACCACUCUUCGGUUACUGAAAUUCUAACAUAGCUCUGUGAAACCAGAGGAUGGACAGUGUCAGGUGGACAGUUUGACUGGGGCGGUCGCCUCCGAAAGAGUAACGGAGGCGCCCAAAGGUACCCUCAGAAUGGAUGGAAACCAUUCGAAGAGCGCAAAGGCAGAAGGGUGCCUGACUGCGAGAUUGACAAAUCGAGCAGAGACGAAAGUCGGGCUUAGUGAUCCGGCGGUAUUGAGUGGAAAAGCCGUCGCUUAACGGAUAAAAGCUACCUCGGGGAUAACAGGCUGAUCUCCCCCAAGAGUCCACAU